AAGGUUUUUGGAACGGAUAAAAAAUUAUUUAAAAAUGCAAUUAAUUGUAAUUACAUCAGCCAAUCGUGUUUCAACGGAAAGUAUGUUUAGUGAAUUAAAUUAAUUAAAGGGUAGCUUGAAAUAGAAAAAAAAUAAAUAAAAAAAUACACUUGAUAAUAAUAUAAAAAAUACACUUGACGCAAGAAUAAUCCCCAUGUUGCCAUUGAAAAGUAGGGUUAAACUUUUUGACAGCAAUUUGUUUAUUCAUACGUGCGAGUGGCGUAUGUUUAAGGUGUUUUAUUUCCAUAGAAUUACCGAGUAGACAAACUAUCAAUUAAAUUCGAGCUGAUUUUCGCGAUGGCAAAUACCGAAAGAAAGGGCACUUUCAAGGUAGAGUACCUUCUAAAGAUCGAAUCGGAAGUGCAGGAUCGUUGGAAAAA